rnacentral:rRNA from 1 species
ACCGGGGGAUAACAGCUGGAAACGGCUGCUAAUACCGCAUAAGUGCACAGAGCUGCAUGGCUCGGUGUGAAAAACUCCGGUGGUAUGGGAUGGGCCCGCGUCUGAUUAGGCAGUUGGCGGGGUAACGGCCCACCAAACCGACGAUCAGUAGCCGGCCUGAGAGGGCGACCGGCCACAUUGGGACUGAGACACGGCCCAAACUCCUACGGGAGGCAGCAGUGGGGAAUAUUGCACAAUGGGGGAAACCCUGAUGCAGCGACGCCGCGUGAGCGAAGAAGUAUUUCGGUAUGUAAAGCUCUAUCAGCAGGGAAGAUAAUGACGGUACCUGACUAAGAAGCCCCGGCUAACUACGUGCCAGCAGCCGCGGUAAUACGUAGGGGGCAAGCGUUAUCCGGAUUUACUGGGUGUAAAGGGAGCGUAGACGGCAAGGCAAGUCUGAUGUGAAAACCCAGGGCUUAACCCUGGGACUGCAUUGGAAACUGUCUGGCUCGAGUGCCGGAGAGGUAAGCGGAAUUCCUAGUGUAGCGGUGAAAUGCGUAGAUAUUAGGAAGAACACCAGUGGCGAAGGCGGCUUACUGGACGGUAACUGACGUUGAGGCUCGAAAGCGUGGGGAGCAAACAGGAUUAGAUACCCUGGUAGUCCACGCCGUAAACGA